CCAAGUUGGCUAAUCUACAUUCUGCUC
rnacentral:piRNA from 1 species